AAGCAACCAUCUAAUUAUUUGCUCCGUUGCAGCAACAUACAAGUCACAGUUCAUUUCUAGUUUCUGUUCAACUCUAUCAAGAAAGAAAGGUCAGAAUACACAAAAUGCAAGUUCCUGAAACUAUACUUUGUGUUGUUAUACAUGAAGUGGUAGACACUACGGUUCAUAUGACCUCUUACGAUUAAGAGAAAUCAUUGGAAGUA
rnacentral:lncRNA from 1 species